UGGGUGAUCUGCCCUGCACUUCGGGAUAAGCCUGGGAAACUGGGUCUAAUACCGGAUAUACCUCAUUGAUCUCCUGGUUGGUGGGGGAAAGCUUUUGCGGUGUGGGAUGGGCCCGCGGCCUAUCAGCUUGUUGGUGAGGUUACGGCUCACCAAGGCGUCGACGGGUAGCCGGCCUGAGAGGGUGUCCCGGCCACACUGGGACUGAGAUACGGCCCAGACUCCUACGAGAGGCAG
rnacentral:rRNA from 1 species